rnacentral:rRNA from 1 species
GUAUCUAAAAGGGUUGGUAAAGCCAACUUUAUAAAGACAAUUUAAUGACCGCGGUAACACUGACCGUGAUAAUGUAGCGCAAUCAAUAGUCAAUUAAUUGUUGGCCGGUAUGAAUGGUGUCACAAGGGUCUCACUGUCUUAAGGAAAUUUCCAGUGAAAUUGAAUUUGUAGUGAAGAUGCUACAUCCAAAUUGUUAGACAAGAAGUCCCCAUGGAACUUUACUGGAGACUUAUAUGGCUUAAAUAAUUUUAAAAUGUGGUGUUAACCUUUCGGCUCACUCUUUUAUUUUAAGAAAGCCAGCUCAAAGAUUUAUGUGUUUGGGAUUUAGUAAGUGGGACAGUUUGGUUGGGGCGACCGCCUUUAAAAAAGUAACGAAGGCGGGCUUAAGAUACAUAUUUAGUUAUGUCUGACUGCCAAGGGGAGGUCCUGAGCAGACACUUAUAUUUAUUUUUUAGGUGGGUUUAAGUGACCCGUUAAUUUAGGGUGAAAUAGUUAACGAUAAACAAAUAAAAGUUACCCUGGGGAU